rnacentral:rRNA from 1 species
CAGCGCGGGGCAACCUGGCGGCGAGUGGCGAACGGGUGAGUAAUAUAUCGGAACGUGCCCUGGAGUGGGGGAUAACGCAGCGAAAGUUGCGCUAAUACCGCAUACGAUCUAAGGAUGAAAGUGGGGGAUUCGCAAGAACCUCAUGCUCCUGGAGCGGCCGAUAUCUGAUUAGCUAGUUGGUGGGGUAAAGGCCUACCAAGGCAUCGAUCAGUAGCUGGUCUGAGAGGACGACCAGCCACACUGGAACUGAGACACGGUCCAGACUCCUACGGGAGGCAGCAGUGGGGAAUUUUGGACAAUGGGCGCAAGCCUGAUCCAGCAAUGCCGCGUGAGUGAAGAAGGCCUUCGGGUUGUAAAGCUCUUUUGUCAGGGAAGAAACGGUUGAGGCUAAUAUCCUUUACUAAUGACGGUACCUGAAGAAUAAGCACCGGCUAACUACGUGCCAGCAGCCGCGGUAAUACGUAGGGUGCAAGCGUUAAUCGGAAUUACUGGGCGUAAAGCGUGCGCAGGCGGUUUUGUAAGUUUGUCGUGAAAUCCCCGGGCUCAACCUGGGAAUGGCGAUGAAGACUGCAAGGCUAGAAUCUGGCAGAGGGGGGUAGAAUUCCACGUGUAGCAGUGAAAUGCGUAGAGAUGUGGAGGAACACCGAUGGCGAAGGCAGCCCCCUGGGUCAAGAUUGACGCUCAUGCACGAAAGCGUGGGGAGCAAACAGGAUUAGAUACCCUGGUAGUCCACGCCCUAAACGAUGUCUACUAGUUGUCGGGUUUUAAUUAACUUGGUAACGCAGCUAACGCGUGAAGUAGACCGCCUGGGGGAGUACGGUCGCAAGAUUAAAACUCAAAGGAAUUGACGGGGACCCGCACAAGCGGUGGAUGAAGGUGGAUUAAUUCGAUGCAACGCGAAAAACCUUACCUACCCUUGACAUGGACGGAAGCCACGAGAAGAUCGAGGUGUGCUCGAAAGAGAACCGUCACACAGGUGCUGCAUGGCUGUCGUCAGCUCGUGUCGUG